rnacentral:misc_RNA from 1 species
AUAACCGCUGAAGGGGAGUAGCCGGUUUUUCUGAGGGCGUCAGUACGGCCAUAAAGGGUCCGCUUUCAGGACGGCAGAAUAGUAAUAUUAGUGUAAGGCCGCAGGCAAGACCUUCAUGCCGAAG